GACGAACGCUGGCGGCGUGCUUAACACAUGCAAGUCGAACGGAAAGGCCCUGCUUUUGUGGGGUGCUCGAGUGGCGAACGGGUGAGUAACACGUGAGUAACCUGCCCUUGACUUUGGGAUAACUUCAGGAAACUGGGGCUAAUACCGGAUAGGAGCUCCUGCUGCAUGGUGGGGGUUGGAAAGUUUCGGCGGUUGGGGAUGGACUCGCGGCUUAUCAGCUUGUUGGUGGGGUAGUGGCUUACCAAGGCUUUGACGGGUAGUCGGCCUGAGAGGGUGACCGGCCACAUUGGGACUGAGAGACGGCCCAGACUCCUACGGGAGGCAGCAGUGGGGAAUAUUGCACAAUGGGCGGAAGCCUGAUGCAGCAACGCCGCGUGCGGGAUGACGGCCUUCGGGUUGUAAACCGCUUUCGCCUGUGACGAAGCGUGAGUGACGGUAAUGGGUAAAGAAGCACCGGCUAACUACGUG
rnacentral:rRNA from 1 species